UUUUUGCAAUGGAAUUGCCCGCAAAAUUUAACGAUUAAUCAAUAUAAGAAUCACUGUUUUAAAACACCCAUUCAUUAUACACACUUCAAUGAAAGAACUUAUACAUACGCACUCACUAUUUACAGGAUCAUUAUACCAUUUUCUUUGUCCACAUUUCUCAAAUUCGGUACCUUUCUCGGAGAAACUGAGCAAAUUGUUUUAUGGGAAAUGCCGAGUCUGGUCGGAAUCCCGACUGGAUCAAUUCCUUUCUCGCCUUCGAUUUCAUUUUUCUUGCUCUUCGUAGGAUGCUUUUGUUGUUUUGAUGAUGAUGUUGGUGGUUGGUUUGUGGCAUUGCAUGUGAGUUGAAAUCGGAUUUAGAUAGGAAAAAGAUUGAUGCUUUGAGGUUUGGUUUGGGAGGGAAAAUGGAGAGAAGGGCUAUUUGGAUAAAGAGAAACAGAGAAUUUGGUUGACAGGAGAAGCGAACUCAUACUCG
rnacentral:misc_RNA from 1 species